rnacentral:misc_RNA from 1 species
UUGAUUUGGUUUUUUAGCUGCAAAAAAACCAAAUCAAGAAUUGCCUAUUAAAUGAAUAUGGUACAACAAAUGCCCAGCAGCUAAAAAUCUGGAAGAUAUAAUUUACAAGCACCUGGGGAGAAAACCAUACUUUACACUUACCUCGGUUGCUAGAGCAAUAAACCUAGUGAUCCAAACUUGGAUCAAGGGCAAACCAAUAAAGUUACUCUCCAUUGAUCAUAAGGGAAUGAUAGGGCUCUCUCUUAAUUUCCACAAAUGAUGAGUACUCCUUGCUCAUCGGCUGUUUCCAGGGUUCGCCAUCCAUCUGCAUAUAUGCGUGUUUCCAUUCCCCACCCCUUAUUUCCAAUCGAAUUGCUGCCGCCUGGGCUAUGUGUUUGGCAGAGAUGAGUUCAACCAUAACAAAAGACGCAUGCCAUCCUUGCUUCAACCCAAAAAUUUCUAGCAGACCAUCAUCAACAUGGGCCUCAACAAACCCCCUCUUUUCCAAAUACUCUGGGUUCGGACUGCCCCAUGGCCUUCUCCCACUUCCAUAAUUGUGAAGGUUUAAAGCAACUAUUGCCCUUACACUUCUAGGAAUUGGAAUCAGCUCCCAUUCUGAGCAAUUAACUUUUUUAACAUGCAUCCUCAGGAUAUUUUUGAGGCCCCUCAAACUUGGAUCACUUAUGCACGGUGUAAGGAACCAACCCUGACUGCAAGUAUAACUGGAGUAGAUUAACUUAUUUGUUAUAGGACCCUGUGCAAGAUAAGGUUUUUCAUUACGUAAAUGGUGGAAGCCAUAAGCUAUUUGAGCAUCCAUUCCUAUGCUAAAGUAAUUAUAAAAGACUCCUUCAUAGCAAUUUGCUUUCUCAGGCAACUUCCCCUCAACUUCCAAACCCUGAUCAAGAGAACACUCUUCCGUAGGUUUCAGAGAAUGGGGUGUAUCCACAACGAAUCCAUCUGGCAUCGACACUAGAAGAUGCCAACUAUCUAGACGGUAAAUUGGACCAGUAAUAGCUCUGUAAAGAGAUCUUUUGACAGCUGAUUUCCAAGCAAAGGGAAACGAGCCUCCCCAACCAAAACUCCUCGCCAGAUCAUUGCCUGUACCUAGAGGAAUGAUUCCUACAGGAGGAACUGGCUCCCUCCCCUGUCUGUUAAGUGCUGCAAGACUCCCCAGUACCCAACCAACCGUACCAUCACCUCCAGCAACCAUAAUUCUCAUCUUUUCUCUUGUAUCUCUGGCACAAAGAUCACCAAGGGCAGCCAACUUCUCUAGGCAGACUAACCCAUAUUCAACAAAUUCAUGAGGCUUCACAUCUGAGAGAUCAAAGACCUGUUCUUCACCCAUUAACUGCUGAAGCCGUCCCUUGAGUUCAGGUCCAUGGCGGCCGCCACUCCUAGAAUUGACAAAAACGACCAUGGGGCCCUCAGGAGCCUCCUCAUGGGCGUAAAGUUCACCGGUAUUGAAGUAACGCUCGGCUUCACCGACGGGGUCUUUGGACUUGAUGGAAUCACCAAUUGCGUGACGCAGAUACUCUGGAAUCAGCAGUUUCCUCCUCAAGCUCUCCUUAUCGAUUCGGACCCCCGACAAGCCGCACCCACGGAUCGACUCAAUCAUCGACGAUCGCGCCGGCACGAUCCGAGCCGACGAUCCUCCGGUCGACGUCGGCGAGUCCAUUUCUAAUACUACCCCUCAGUCUCCACAAAGCCAAGUGCUGUAAUGGCUUCGGUUCGGUAUGCGUUUGAAUUGCAACUGAAAAUUUUACGAUUUUUUGCACGAGAAAUGGAGAAAAUGAUUGCAGCAGUUUUCUUUUUCUGUUUUUUUUUUUUUU